CAAUAGCGUAUAUUUAAGUUGCUGCAGUUAAAAAGCUCGUAGUUGGAUUUCGGGUGGGAAUGGCCGGUCCGCCGUUUCGGUGUGCACUUGCUACGCCCACCUUGCUGCCGGGGACGUGCUCUUGAGUUCACGCUCGGGACACGGAGUCGGCGAGGUUACUUUGAGUAAAUUAGAGUGUACAAAGCAGGCCUACGCUCUGAAUACAUUAGCAUGGAAUAACACGAUAGGACUCUGGCCUAUCUUGUUGGUCUGUAGGACCGGAGUAAUGAUUAAGAGGGACAGUCGGGGGCAUUCGUAUUUCAUUGUCAGAGGUGAAAUUCUUGGAUUUAUGAAAGACGAACUACUGCGAAAGCAUUUGCCAAGGAUGUUUUCAUUAA
rnacentral:rRNA from 1 species